ACGAACGCUGGCGGCGUGCUUAACACAUGCAAGUCGAGCGGUAAGGCCCUUUCGGGGGUACACGAGCGGCGAACGGGUGAGUAACACGUGGGUGACCUGCCCUCAGCUCUGGGAUAAGCCUGGGAAACCGGGUCUAAUACUGGAUAUGACUCCAUGACGCAUGUUGUGGGGUGGAAAGCCUUGUGCGGCUGAGGAUGGGCCCGCGGCCCAUCAGCUUGUUGGUGGGGGAUGGCCUACCAAGGCGACGACGGGUAGCCGGCCUGAGAGGGCGACCGGCCACACUGGGACUGAGACACGGCCCAGACCCCUACGGG
rnacentral:rRNA from 1 species